rnacentral:lncRNA from 1 species
CAGGACUUUUUCUCUCUUGAUGUAAAUAUUUCCUGUAUUAUAAGGUUUUAUACGAUACAUGUAAUCAAAACAACUGUUUGAUUUGAAAAAAACUGAUCAGAAUCUUUUGUAACUGAUGCCUGCCUUCAACCAAAACCAGAAGCAAAGUUUCAGCAAAGUAAGCCGAUCAAUAAAGUUUUUACGAUAUCGGUAAUCUUCACUAAGCGAUUCAACCAAACAAUUAUACUAAUAUCAAGUUGUAUCAUGAACGAACAGCCUCAUUUGCCAAGGAAAAAGGUAAUAUUUCCCACUCAGAGACCUUGAACAGAAAGUUUGUUGAAGUCCUCUGAAUUGGAUGAGUGCUAUUUUUCCACCUCUCUGGAUUAAGUGAUUAAUCUCUCAUGAAUUUCCUUUUGCAGCUAUUCCAAAUUUACUUCUCUCCACGUGUGAAACAAAUGCAUGUCCGAAUUCACUACUCUCAACAUCAGAAGCAAUUGCAUCUCAAGAGGAAGAUGAUAAUAAUAUUGAGGUAUCUCGUGAAAGCUGUUGUGUUGCCGGUUGUGAAAAUGCAUCCCUGCAACGUAGUGAAAAGCAUAAGUUAUGUUUCUUUCCCUUUCCCAGGGACAAACAAAGAAGGCAACUCUGGAUUAAUUUUUGCAGCAGAGAAUCUAGAUUUAAUUCUUACAAAAGUAAGAUUUGCAGCAGACAUUUUAGUCAAGAGCAGCUUGUUCAAUAUGUAGUCCGAGGAGAACAAACUAUGAAAACAAAACUAAAAAAGAAUGGUGAGAAACAUUUUGUCAGCUUGCUGCCCAUGCUAUACUUUACUGAUACUCAACAUAGUCAAAAAUCAUUUAUCAAGAUAUUUUCACCUAUCUACUACAGUCAACUCUCGAUAAUUCGAAUUUCAAGGGACUGGAGAAAAAUUCGUAGCAACGAGAGUUUUGAAUUAGUGACGUCUUUGAAUCAAUUAAGUGUUCAAAUUAGGAGGUUUGGGCUAAAAAAAUUCGAAUUAAAGAGAUUCUAAAGAGAUCGUGAGAAUGAAGACGGAUUAACAAAUUUUGUCACCUUAUUCGCAUCUUUACAAUGGAUAAAAAAUGCUGGAUGUCAUGUGUUUGUCACUCUGGGAAAUUAAUGAGUUUUCAGUUGACAGAGAGGUUUUUUGGUAUCUUUUUGUUGUUGACUUGCUAGAAGUUUUGAAGUAAUGAGAGUCUCUUUCUAAAAUUUCGAAUUAUCGAGGUAGUUUGGUUACGCUGGUUUCUGAAAAAUUUGAAUUAUCAAGAUGAGAAAAAUGCAUUGAUUUUUUUCGAAUUAUCAAG